UGGGGAAUAUUGCACAAUGGGCGCAAGCCUGAUGCAGCAACGCCGCGUGAGGGAUGACGGCCUUCGGGUUGUAAACCUCUUUUAGCAGGGAAGAAGCGAAAGUGACGGUACCUGCAGAAAAAGCGCCGGCUAACUACGUGCCAGCAGCCGCGGUAAUACGUAGGGCGCAAGCGUUAUCCGGAAUUAUUGGGCGUAAAGAGCUCGUAGGCGGUUUGUCGCGUCUGCUGUGAAAUCCCGAGGCUCAACCUCGGGUCUGCAGUGGGUACGGGCAGACUAGAGUGCGGUAGGGGAGAUUGGAAUUCCUGGUGUAGCGGUGGAAUGCGCAGAUAUCAGGAGGAACACCGAUGGCGAAGGCAGAUCUCUGGGCCGUAACUGACGCCGAGGAGCGAAAAGGGUGGGGAGCAAACAGGCUUAGAUACCCUGGUAGUCCACCCCGUAAACGUUGGGAACUAGUUGUGGGGUCCAUUCCACGGAUUCCGUGACGCAGCUAACGCAUUAAGUUCCCCGCCUGGGGAGUACGGCCGCAAGGCUAAAACU
rnacentral:rRNA from 1 species